CAGUAGCCGCGGGAAUACGAAGGGUGCAAGCGUUACUCGGAAUUACUGGGCGUAAAGCGUGCGUAGGUGGUGGUUUAAGUCCGUUGUGAAAGCCCUGGGCUCAACCUGGGAAUUGCAGUGGAUACUGGGUCACUAGAGUGUGGUAGAGGAUAGUGGAAUUUCCGGUGUAGCAGUGAAAUGCGUAGAGAUCGGAAGGAACAUCUGUGGCGAAGGCGACUAUCUGGGCCAACACUGACGCUGAGGCACGAAAGCGUGGGGAGCAAACAGGAUUAGAUACCCCGGUAGUCCCUGUCUCUUAUAA
rnacentral:rRNA from 1 species